AUUGAACGCUGGCGGCAGGCCUAACACAUGCAAGUCGAACGGUAACAGGAAGCAGCUUGCUGCUUUGCUGACGAGUGGCGGACGGGUGAGUAAUGUCCGGGAAACUGCCUGAUGGAGGGGGAUAACUACUGGAAACGGUAGCUAAUACCGCAUAACGUCGCAAGACCAAAGAGGGGGACCUUAGGGCCUCUUGCCAUCGGAUGUGCCCAGAUGGGAUUAGCUAGUAGGUGGGGUAACGGCUCACCUAGGCGACGAUCCCUAGCUGGUCUGAGAGGAUGACCAGCCACACUGGAACUGAGACACGGUCCAGACUCCUACGGGAGGCAGCAGUGGGGAAUAUUGCACAAUGGGCGCAAGCCUGAUGCAGCCAUGCCGCGUGUAUGAAGAAGGCCUUCGGGUUGUAAAGUACUUUCAGCGGGGAGGAAGGGAGUAAAGUUAAUACCUUUGCUCAUUGACGUUACCCGCAGAAGAAGCACCGGCUAACUCCGUG
rnacentral:rRNA from 1 species